rnacentral:rRNA from 1 species
AGGUUAAGCUACAAAGGGCGCACGGUGGAUGCCUUGGCGCUAGGAGCCGAUGAAGGACGUGGCGAACGACGAAAUGCUUCGGGGAGCUGUAAGCAAGCUUUGAUCCGGAGAUGUCCGAAUGGGGGAACCCACGAUUCGUAAUGGGAUCGUACUCUUGUCUGAAUCCAUAGGGCAAGGAGAGGCAUACCAGGGGAACUGAAACAUCUAAGUACCCUGAGGAAGAGAAAACAAUAGUGAUUCCGUCAGUAGCGGCGAGCGAACGCGGAGUAGCCCAA